GUAGUGACGCGGAUGGAAAAUUGGACUCCAGUUUCUAGUUUAGUAGAAGACGAUCUCUACAGUUUAAACUUAAUGUAUUUUACAAUAAAUAUGAUUUUGUCAAGGUCUCUACCAGUUUAGAUAAAUGAACCGGAUCAGCUCUCAACUGAAGGGAUGUAGGAGAUCAUCUCCAUCUCAAAAAGGCAUCUUACAGUGAGUUUGAGCAGCAAGCUUUUGGUGAGGCUCUUUCUCAGUCACUGAUGAGGAGGAUGAAGCUCUGAGUCUGAAUCUGGAGCUCCGGAUGGUCAUGAGGAUAAAGAUGAAGGAAGAGUUUGGCUUCUGGAGACAAAUUCAUGUUAAAC